rnacentral:rRNA from 1 species
GGGUUAAGUCCCGCAACGAGCGCAACCCUUGCCUUAGUUGCCAGGCAGUUCGGCUGGGCACUCUAAAGGGACUGCCGGUGUUAAACCGGAGGAAGGUGGGGAUGAACGUCAAGUCCUCAUGGCCUUUAUGACCAGGGCUACACACGUACUACAAUGGCCGAUACAAAGGGCAGCGACACUGGCGAGGUGAAGCCAAAUCCCGUAAAAUCGGUCUCAGUCCGGAUUGGAGUCUGCAACUCGACUCCAUGAAGUUGGAAUCGCUAGUAAUCGUGGAUCAGCAUGCCACGGUGAAUACGUUCCCGGGCCUU